UACGAAGGGGGCUAGCGUUGUUCGGAAUUACUGGGCGUAAAGCGCGUGUAGGCGGGUCUUUUUAAGUCAGGGGUGAAAUGCCAAGGCUCAACCUUGGAACUGCCUUUGAUACUGGAGAUCUUGAGUCCGGGGAGAGGUGAGUGGAACUGCGAGUGUAGAGGUGAAAUUCGUAGAUAUUCGCAAGAACACCAGUGGCGAAGGCGGCUCACUGGCCCGGAACUGACGCUGAGACGCGAAAGCGGUGGGGAGCAAACAGG
rnacentral:rRNA from 1 species